rnacentral:rRNA from 1 species
UACGUAGGGGGCAAGCGUUGUCCGGAAUCAUUGGGCGUAAAGCGCGUGUAGGCGGUUCGGUAAGUCUGCUGUGAAAGUCCAGGGCUCAACCCUGGGAUGCCGGUGGAUACUGCUGAACUAGAGUGCGGAAGAGGCGAGUGGAAUUCCCGGUGUAGCGGUGAAAUGCGCAGAUAUCGGGAGGAACACCAAUUGCGAAGGCAGCUCGCUGGGACGUGACUGACGCUGAGACGCGAAAGCGUGGGGAGCAAACAGG